AGCUCUGUGCGCCUCCGGAUGGCCGCGGGAAGCUCUCGUAGGGAUUGGGCUUCUCGGGGUUUGAUUACCGGCGUAUGAAUAGACUGCGUCAGGUUCUCCGACGUCUCUCCCUCUUCCACAAAAGACAACUACAAGGAGUUGAUGGGGAAAAAAGAAGCCUUCCUCAAGGAUGAGGACAUCUGGCACAUGGCAGUUGCAAGAAGGACCACACCUUGUACCACAACACAUGAUGGAAGCAAACCAAAGAAAAAAAGAAUUACGGCAACUUCCAGUCUCACUUCAGAUGAUGAUGAAACACAGAUUGACCCAUCACGAGUUCUUCAAACAAAUAAGCCGAAGAUGACAAAGGCUGCAAGAGACCGAGCCCUUGCCCAACUGAAAUCCUCGCUGCUGAGAAGAAAGCAAACAACCUCCACCCCCUUGACAAAUGAAGACGAUACAGACAUAGACACCAAUGUGGACUUAUUUGACCCACCUCAGGCUUCGGGAUCAAGUGACCUCUCCCAAGGGGAAAGUGAAGAGGAGAGUGUCCUGAUGGAUCAGCCCAGAUCCAGUGUUGGCAUGCAACAGGAAGUGAUGGAUGCUCUGAAAGAAAUACCAGCCUUAGUCAAGUGUGUCAAAGAUCUUAUUGCAACCAUGAAGAGAAUGCCACCUGUCAUGGACACUGACAGUACAUGUUCUGGCUCUUCCAGUCCAGCUCCAGAAAUGAUUUCCCUUGGCAACAAGGGGGUGCAGGUCAGCAAAACCUGUUUCAAAAGACUCAACCGAACAAGAAUGUCCCUGUUCACACAGGACUUAGCUGUGCUCCUCUUUGGGCGGGAUGUUUUGGCAUCCUCGACUCUCACAGGAAAACCAGGGCUUACUGGAACAGUGAAAGAGCAGUUAAAUCCGGAAAAGCUGAGUGCCCUUGUUGAUACAGUUAUUGCUGAAUUUCCAGGAACAAAUGUGUCUGAUGUGAGGGCAGUGAUUCAGAGAAAAUGUAACAAUGAGAAUUUUGUGAGCAAAAAGAAACAGUAAGCAGUAAAUCAGUAACUGUUUGUAAUAAUUUCUUGUUUGUUUUUUCUUUGGUGGACAUACAUUUUGAGUUUAAACAAACUGUGUAAAAGUUUAAACAAUCUGUCCACCUAUGUAAAAGUUUCAACAGUCUGUUUAAUGUUUA
ensembl:lncRNA